UGGCUCUCGCAUCGAUGAAGAACGCCGCGAAACGCGAUAUGUAAUGUGAAUUGCAGAAUUCAGUGAAUCAUCGAAUCUUUGAACGCACCUUGCGCCCCUUGGUAUUCCGAGGGGCAUGCCUGUUUGAGUGUCACGUUAAACCUCACCUGCUGGGCUUCAUUGCUCAGUGGCGUGGAUUUGGACGCUGCCGUGGUAGGCUCGUCUUGAAAUGCAUUAGCCCAACGUUCCCUCGACGAUCCGACGGUCUGAUAUUCAUCUGCACCGACAGCGACGAGGUCUUCGCAAGGCUCAUAAUCGUCCCAUUGCGGACAGCUUUUUUAAGUUUGACCUCAAAUCAGGUAGGACUACCCGCUGA
rnacentral:misc_RNA from 1 species